AUUGAACGCUGGCGGCAUGCUUUACACAUGCAAGUCGAACGGUAACAGGCCUUCGGGUGCUGACGAGUGGCGAACGGGUGCGUAAUGCAUCGGAACGUACCCAGAGGUGGGGGAUAACGCAGCGAAAGCUGUGCUAAUACCGCAUGUGAUCUGAGGAUGAAAGCGGGGGACCGAGCAGCAAUGUUUGGCCUCGCGCCUUUGGAGCGGCCGAUGUCGGAUUAGCUAGUUGGUGGGGUAAAGGCCGACCAAGGCGACGAUCCGUAGCUGGUCUGAGAGGACGACCAGCCAGACUGGGAGUGAGACACGGCACAGACUCCGACGGGAGGCAGCAGUGGGGAAUUUUGGACAAUGGGCGAGGGCCUGAUCCAGCAAUGCCGCGUGCGGGAAGAUGGACUUCGGGUUGUGAACCGCUUUUGGCAGGAGCGAAACGGUGUCCGCUAAUACCGGACGCUAAUGACGGUACCUGCAGAAUAAGCACCGGCUAACUACGUG
rnacentral:rRNA from 1 species